rnacentral:rRNA from 1 species
CUGCGAAAGCCGGAUUAAUACCGCAUACGCUCUAUGGAGGAGAGCGGGGGACUCGCAAGGGCCUCGCGCUCAAGGGGCGGCCGAUGGCGGAUUAGCUAGUUGGUGGGGUAAAGGCCUACCAAGGCGACGAUCCGUAGCUGGUCUGAGAGGACGACCAGCCACGCUGGGACUGAGACACGGCCCAGACUCCUACGGGAGGCAGCAGUGGGGAAUUUUGGACAAUGGGGGCAACCCUGAUCCAGCAAUGCCGCGUGUGUGAAGAAGGCCUUCGGGUUGUAAAGCUCUUUUGUCCGGAAAGAAAACCUGCCUGUUAAUACCGGGUGGGGAUGACGGUACCGGAAGAAUAAGCGCCGGCUAACUACGUGCCAGCAGCCGCGGUAAUACGUACGGUGCGAGCGUUAAUCGGAAUUACUGGGCGUAAAGCGUGCGCAGGCGGUUUGCUAAGACCGAUGUGAGAUCCCCGGGCUUAACCUGCGAACUGCAUUGGUGACUGGCAAGCUAGAGUAUGGCA